UUGGUGCUUUACUCUGAAAACAGCAGUGAGUUUUUGCAGAUUAUUGAGCCAGAGGGUGGCAAGAGUAGAUUAGCAUUUUAUAAUGGUCACUCCAUUGUCAACCUUAUUGGAGGGAACGUGGAACUUCAGGCAGGGAGAAUGGCUGCCGGAACACAGGGGAGAGAGCUGGGGGCUGUCACUAGGACACAGCAAUGAUAACAGAGAAGAUGGAUAAACAAGAAAAGUGGAUAGAGAAGGAGAAGGAAUACUAUGCUUGGAAUGAUCUGGACCAGAUACUUGCCACUACGGAGCCAUGAACUGUCACUUCAAGCCCACCAGCUGCAUGUAAGCAUUCAGACAGGAAAGGAUGCCAAUGGAGGCUUUUUUUCUGGAACAGCUCUCACAGUCCCUGAUAAAGCAGCAAACACACAGGUGUUGAACAGGGGACUGCCUCCUUUCACAAUACACAGACAUGAACCAUAGGAAGUAAUAGCUGAAUUUAGAAAGCAUUUGGCUCAGAAACUGCAGAAACAGGUGGGAUUGGACUGUGAAAGUGUUUUUGCAUGGGCUGCACGGUUCUUUUUGCUUAUUCACUUGUUAUUUUUCUAAAAUGAAUCUAAACAUUUAAAUGCCUUUCAGUAAAUUUGUACUCUCCCGUUAUCCACAAAUUUUUAUUGUUAUUGUUUGUUUUUAUCACUUCCUAUUGUUUUAGCUUGAUUCCCCCAAAACAGAUCCAAGACAAUGACUUGGAUACAGGUGUUGCGUCUGGGAAAGGAUCUGGGAUGCCGUGAGGCAGCGGGGAAACUGAGGCAGUAGGGAGUGCAACAUCAAUAAGGUAUGUGCUAUGGGAUGACACCCAAAAUCCCUAAGUUGGAGUGCUGACCCUCAGUACCUCAGAAAGUGACUUCAUUUGGCUAGAGGGUCUUUAGAGAUGUAAUUAAGGCAAAACAAAGUCCUAUGGGCAGGGCCCUGAUCCUAUAACAACUGGUAUCCUUACAAGCAGAGGAGAUCAGGACACAGACACACAUACAGAGGAAAGACCAUGUGAGGACACAGGGAAAACUUGCCCAUCAGAAGCCAACAGAGAAGCCUCAGAAGAAACCAACCCUGCUGACACUUUGACCUUGGACUUCCAGCCUCCAGACUGUGAGAUACAUUUUUGCUAUUUAAGCUACCUGGUCUGUGGUCCUUUUUUAUGGCAGCCCCAGAAAAAUAACACUGUAUGUGUGAAUGAAUGAAGGGGUCAUCACUAUGGGCAACUGGGGGUCAGUCCUGCUGAGGACUCUCUGAGAAACCAAUGGGGAAUACAUCUCAGAACUGUGGCACCAGAAAAUGGAAAGGCUGGGGCAUUUGCCCUGGCAUGGGUCCCCCUUGGCUGAGGGCUGUUCCCAGGUGCAUCGCUGAUUACCCUGUGAAAGAUGGAACAGGUUUUCCUGCUGAUGGAGACCAAAGCCUGAAGGCAGAGAAGCAGACAGAUGCAGGC
rnacentral:lncRNA from 12 species